GUAGUCUGNAACCCGACUACAUGAAGCUGGAAUCGCUAGUAAUCGCGGAUCAGAAUGCCGCGGUGAAUACGUUCCCGGGUCUUGUACACACCGCCCGUCACACCAUGGGAGUCGGAAAUGCCCGAAGUCUGUGACCCAACCUUAGGGAGGGAGCAGCCGAAGGCAGGUCGGAUGACUGGGGUGAAGUCGUAACAAGGUAUC
rnacentral:rRNA from 1 species